UACGGAGGAUCCAAGCGUUAUCCGGAUUUAUUGGGUUUAAAGGGUGCGUAGGCGGCCCGGUAAGUCCGCUGUGAAAGUCGGGGGCUCAACCCUCGAAUGCCGGUGGAUACUGUCGGGCUAGAGUGCGGAAGAGGCGAGUGGAAUUCCUGGUGUAGCGGUGAAAUGCGCAGAUAUCAGGAGGAACACCAAUUGCGAAGGCAGCUCGCUGGGACGUAACUGACGCUGAGACGCGAAAGCGUGGGGAGCAAACAGG
rnacentral:rRNA from 1 species